AGGUUGUGAGACAUGUGAAUUAGAGGAUGAUUCUGAAUGGGAGGUUAAAAGACCUUCAGAGGUCAAAACUGAGGCAAAUAUCAAGUACAGUGUCAGCUCCUCUGCAGGGCAGUAUGAAUGUUCAGAGACUGGCCUCCGCUGGCAGUGUGACAGUGAUGUCAGUUUGGAGUAUCAGUUUGUUGACUGGGAAUCAUUACAUGAAGAUAUCAUGAAGAACUACAAACCAUGUGGAACUUUGAUGGACAUCACUGUAACUUCUGGCACUCUGAAGGAAAUUCAUCUACCUCACUUCAUCUGUGUAGAUUCUGUAUCUUCAUCAGAUGAUGCAGUGAAAGCUCUUAAUGUAAACGGCAGUGAAGCUUCAUUGGAGAGAUGUGACUAACCCAGAUUUCACACCAAGCUUCUCAGUCCCACCUUCUCACUCUUGGGAGUUAUUGCACAUUUGCAUCAGUACUUCACCAUGAAAUUUCACUGUGAAACUUUGAUUUAUCACAACAAAAUUGCUGCCCUUAACCUUCAUGUGUACCUGAUUUUACAGGAUGAAAAACUUAAGAAGGAUGUGAAGGAGAAGGAGAAACAUAAUAUGGAGAUUGUAAAACCAUCACCAGAUGAAG